rnacentral:SRP_RNA from 1 species
GUGGGGUGUGAUGGCACGUGCCUGUAGUCCCAGCUACUCGGGAGGCUGAGGUGGGAGGAUCGCUUGAGCCCAGGAGUUCUGGGCUGUAGUGUGCCAAGCCGAUCGGCUGUGACCAUUGAGUUCGGCAUCAAUAUGGUGACCUCCCGGGAGCGGGGGACCACUAGGUUGCCUAAGGAGGGGUGAACCGGCCCAGGUCGGAAACGGAGCAGAUCAAAACUCCCGUGCCGAUCAGUAGUGGGAUUGCGCCUGUGAAUAGCCACUGCACUCCAGCCUGGGCAACAUAGCGAGACCCCGUCUCA